rnacentral:tRNA from 1 species
GCGAGAAUGGCGGAAUUGGCAGACGCGCUAGAUUCAGGUUCUAGUGUUCGCAAGGACAUGCAGGUUCAAGUCCUGUUUCUCGCACCA